CUUUUUGUUAUGUUGUUUGAAGUAAACAAUGCAAUGCGUUCAAGACAAGGGCUAUUCAGGUGAAGGAAGGUCUGGAGGGAGCUGUUACUGGCUGCACGGUGACUCUGAAUCCUGAAAAGCCAAGGCGGGGUUGCUUUGAGAUCCGGAAAGAAGGUGGCGAAACAUUCAUCAGUCUUUUGGAGAUGAAACGUCCAUUUGCACCAAUGAAAGCACUUGAUAUGGAACAAGUCAUUGAGGACAUCAUAAAGAAGAUCAAAUGAGAGACUGCAAAUUGGCUCGUAUUGUGCUCAAUCUGUUCUUUGUUUCUGCUUAGCCUCAGUUUAAAUAAUUAGGACUCCAUUGAAGAUUUUCUAGAGCAAUGUCAGAUUACUAGGUUCAGUUUUAUUGUUUUGGUAUGAGCACUGUUAAGUGCAGUCUCGUUGUUUUGUAGUGCCUGGUUAGUUUGGUAAGGAUCCAUGUAGUUUUCUGGGAUUUUAACUCGUAUUUGUAAGGCUAGUUUGAUUCAUCUCGUUUCACGAAGCAAACCGAUGCAGAAGCGUUUUUGUUGUU